rnacentral:rRNA from 1 species
UACAGAGGGGGCAAGCGUUAUUCGGAAUUAUUGGGCGUAAAGGGCGCGUAGGCGGCUUUGCAAGUGACGGGUGAAAUCCCUCGGCUUAACCGAGGAACUGCCUGUCAAACUGCAUGGCUUGAGACCGGGAGAGGUGAGUGGAAUUCCCAGUGUAGCGGUGAAAUGCGCAGAUAUCAGGAGGAACACCGGUGGCGAAGGCGGGUCUCUGGGCCGAUACUGACGCUGAGGAGCGAAAGCGUGGGGAGCAAACAGG